UUUAUUUUCUGUCAGGCAAAGGCCCGCGACCCACUGAAAACGGGUCCGCGGACCCACCAGUUGAGAAUCACUCCAGUUUGAGUGAGAGGUUUGAUUCAUGUGACAAAGAAUCACGUGAAUCUGAACAAAAACAAAAAUAAUUCAUUUUGACCUGCUGCCAAUCCAACUUCAUUUCAAGUGUCCAGGUUUCACUGUAACAUGUCUCUACUGAAGCCUGCAGAUUCACUGCCUGUCUCUCUGCUGCUCUGUCUCGCUUGCUUCAUCCCCAUCUUCCUCUUUGCUGUCCUUUUGUACCACCCCGCCCUUUUUCGGCCAUUCUCUCAGUCUGACUGGGAGAAUGGGUGAGGAAAAUGGAGAGGAGACAUUUUUCCAGAGCACAGCUCCCGCCAAGCCCCCUGCAGCACCCAGCGAGGAGGAAGAGGAGGAUGAGAUGAGCUUGAAGGGACACCCCCCCCCCGCCCCUCUCUUUGGUGAUGAUGAGGAGGAUAAUGACCUGGACUGGCUAAACUGACAUAAUACACACUCUGUGUGGUGGAGCAGUCAGCACCAACAGAGAGGAGGAGCCUGAUUGGACGGAGCAGACAGACGGUGUGUCCUGCUGACUGACGGUCCACCUCUGAUCUACUAUCACAGAGGAAAAAGUGUUUCAUUCAUUAUGUGAUAUCUGUUGGUUUUUUACAUUGCACUGCAGCAGAUGAGUCUGUCGAAUCAGCAGGAAUCCUGUUAUUUUAAUGAUUAGCUUGCUGCUUUAAGAAUAGAACUUUUACACAAUUUUGCUAACCUGAAAUUCCUUCCAUAAAAUAAAUGACAUGUAGAUUGUG